CGUAGGUGGCAAGCGUUGUCCGGAUUUAUUGGGUUUAAAGGGUGCGUAGGCGGUCCUAUAAGUCAGUGCUGAAAUAUCACAGCUUAACUGUGAGGGUGGCAUUGAUACUGCAGGACUUGAGUAAAGUUGAGGUAGGCGGAAUCGACGGUGUAGCGGUGAAAUGCUUAGAUAUCGUCAAGAACACCGAUAGUGUAGACAGCUUACUAAGCUUUAACUGACGCUGAGGCACGAAAGUGUGGGGAUCAAACAGGAUUAGAUACCCUGGUAGUCCACACUGUAAACGUUGAAGACUCGCUGUUGGCGAUACACAGUCAGCGGCUGAGAGAAAUCGUUAAGUCUUCCACCUGGGGAGUACGCCGGCAACGGUG
rnacentral:rRNA from 1 species